rnacentral:tRNA from 1 species
GGGCUGGUUGCGGGCGGGUUCGCCGCCGGGCUGGUUCCUGGCCGGCUCGCCGCCCGGCUGGUUCUUCGCCGGUUCACCGCCGGGCCGGGCCC